GAAAAUAUAAAGAUUAAAAUUUAAAGAUUAAUAUUCAAAAACUAUGAAGUGAUAAUGAGAGUCUAACUUUCAGUCCAUUUUAAUUCUAAGCUAUGAAUAUUCCACCUUAGAUGAAACUGGACAAGUGAAUUAUUUCUAUGACAAUUCAUUCAUCAAAUGUUUCUAAAGAGCCUUUGAGUCCGACAACAGCAGACAUGUUCAGAUGGUGGCGAAAACUUCCAGACUUGCUCUGACAUCACAGCGGUCUGUGGGAGUUUGUUACAAGAUUAGCUGAGAAAAGACUUAUUCACCAGCACUGUGGUUGAUAUUCACAGUGAAAGACAACCGUCAAUGCCCAACUGCUCACUAUGCUAAUUUCUGACACGUCUCUGUGAAUUUUAUGCAGCAUCUCUGGUGACAUCCAGUGACCGGUGGAGCUGUGUAUCAUAGUGUAGCUUGCAUCAUCAUUGUGUGAAAGCGGUGUAUGUCCAAAUGUGUAGUGAUGAAAUAUUCAUAAUAGCAUGUAAAAAGCUUUAUAGUCCAUGUUUACAAGCAUUUACUACUAAAUGAAGCCACUGCAAACAUUGAAACCUCAGCUAUUUACCUCUUAGUGGAUUUAAGAUUUUUCUCCCGACUGAAUUAUUUAUGACUCAUUGAUUAUUGCUUUGCUUUUAAAGUCUUUAUGCAAAAUGUAAAGAAAAUAUUAAUGGUGUCCUAUUUAUGCUUCCUUGAACAGGUUAGGAUAGGUGUAUGUACAAUGGCCAGUUAGGGCCAUUGUAGAUAGAAAA